AUUGAACGCUGGCGGCAGGCCUAACACAUGCAAGUCGAGCGGAUGAAGGGAGCUUGCUCCUGGAUUCAGCGGCGGACGGGUGAGUAAUGCCUAGGAAUCUGCCUGGUAGUGGGGGAUAACGUCCGGAAACGGGCGCUAAUACCGCAUACGUCCUGAGGGAGAAAGUGGGGGAUCUUCGGACCUCACGCUAUCAGAUGAGCCUAGGUCGGAUUAGCUAGUUGGUGGGGUAAAGGCCUACCAAGGCGACGAUCCGUAACUGGUCUGAGAGGAUGAUCAGUCACACUGGAACUGAGACACGGUCCAGCCCCCUACGGGAGGCAGCAGUGGGGAAUAUUGGCCCAUGGCCGACAGCCUGCUCCAGCCAUGCCGCGUGUGUGAAGAAGGGCUUCGGCUUGUAAAGAACGUUGCGUUGGGAGGAAAGGCAGUACGUUACUACCUGGCUGUUUUGACGUUACCAACCGAAUAAGCACCGGCUCACUUCGUG
rnacentral:rRNA from 1 species